AAUGAACGUUGGCGGCGUGGAUUAGGCAUGCAAGUCGUGCGCGAUGAGUUUGGUGCUUGCAUUAAACUCUGAAAGCGGCGAAAGGGAGAGUAACGCGUGGAUCAUCUACCCUCGGGUCUGGGAUAGCUGCGGGAAACUGCAGGUAAUACCGGAUGAUGUCCCUGGACCAAAGGUGCAAUUCCGCCUGAGGAUGAGUCCGCGUCCUAUUAGCUAGUUGGUGGGGUAACAGCCCACCAAGGCAAAGAUGGGUACCGGGUGUGAGAGCAUGGCCCGGCUCACUGGGACUGAGACACUGCCCAGACACCUACGGGUGGCUGCAGUCGAGAAUCUUCCGCAAUGGGCGAAAGCCUGACGGAGCGAUGCCGCGUGCGGGAUGAAGGCCUGGUUGUAACGCUGUCAGUGGGUGGAAGUUAGUUU
rnacentral:rRNA from 1 species